rnacentral:rRNA from 1 species
UUCCCUUCGGGGACAAAAUGACAGGUGGUGCAUGGUUGUCGUCAGCUCGUGUCGUGAGAUGUUGGGUUAAGUCCCGCAACGAGCGCAACCCUUAUUGUUAGUUGCCAGCAUUAAGUUGGGCACUCUAGCAAGACUGCCGGUGACAAACCGGAGGAAGGUGGGGAUGACGUCAAAUCAUCAUGCCCCUUAUGACCUGGGCUACACACGUGCUACAAUGGACGGUACAACGAGUCGCAAGACCGCGAGGUUUAGCAAAUCUCUUAAAGCCGUUCUCAGUUCGGAUUGUAGGCUGCAACUCGCCUACAUGAAGUCGGAAUCGCUAGUAAUCGCGGAUCAGAAUGCCGCGGUGAAUACGUUCCCGGGUCUUGUACACACCGCCCGUCACACCAUGGGAGCCGGGAAUGCCCGAAGUCUGUGACCGAACCCGUAAGGGGAGGGGCAGCCGAAGGCAGGCCCGGUGACUGGGGUGAAGUCGUAACAAGGUAGCCGUAUCGGAAGGUGCGGCUGGAUCA